GACGAACGCUGGCGGCGUGCCUAACACAUGCAAGUCGAACGAGGUCCAUGCAGUGGCAACACUGCGGAAGACCUAGUGGCGAACGGGUGAGUAACACGUGAGGAACCUGCCCCGAAGACCGGGAUAACCCUCCGAAAGGAGAGCUAAUACCGGAUACCCCCACCGGAUCGCAUGAUCUGGUGAGGAAAUGGAUUCCGCUUCGGGAGGGCCUCGCGGCCUAUCAGCUAGUUGGGGGGGUAACGGCCCACCAAGGCAUCGACGGGUAGCUGGUCUGAGAGGACGAUCAGCCACACUGGGACUGAGACACGGCCCAGACUCCUACGGGAGGCAGCAGUGGGGAAUCUUGCGCAAUGGGCGAAAGCCUGACGCAGCAACGCCGCGUGGGGGAUGAAGGCUCUCGGGUUGUAAACCCCUUUCAGCAGGGACGAAUCAAGACGGUACCUGCAGAAGAAGCCCCGGCUAACUACGUGCCAGCAGCCGCAGUAAUAC
rnacentral:rRNA from 1 species